AAGAAAACAGGAAUGUAAAACUCUGAGUUGCAGAAUGACAAGACAAUCACAGAACAGUAGUAGUUGGUUUUCAGGUGAAUGACUAUGCAGGUUAACAGCACCAUGCACUGCAUUAUAUCAUGAAGGGCAAAGAGGAUUCUAUGAGUACAAAACAAAUCAGUAGCCAUUCCUGAAACAGUCAGAUAGAAAGGUCAGACUCGUCACCAAUAUUGUCUGCAUGAGAUAGAGGGAAAUCGGCCGAUGCUGGAUGCUGGGCCAAUACAGCAUCGCGAAAUCAAACAUAGAGCAGCAAUUCACAUGAAGAUUCACUCACCUGAAAAUCGGCGACUCAUGCUGCGGCUGCCUA